UCUCCAGGUAAGUGGCUCAUUCUCCUGCCUUUGAGGAAGGCAAUUGGAAUGCCCAGCUUGCUUCAGGCUUCCUCAGACCCUUACUCUUUCUCUCUCUCUUUUUUUUAACGUUCAUUUGUCUCCAGUCUAAUGCUGAGUAUGUUGCCUAAUGUCCUGGGUGGGUGCGUCUGACUUCUGUCUCUGCAGUGGCAAAAAGCACAUGGGGACAGGCUGAACACAGGGACCAUCGGGAUCCUUUGUGCAGGGACAAGAGAACUGGAAGAAUGAGAGAAAGAUUGUCGGGGAGGAAGUAGCUGGCCCAGCAUCCCCGUCAUCAGGAGGGACACACAGAUAAACGCUUGUUCCAAUAUCAAGUUGUAGGUUCUGUAGGAUCAAAUUCUUUGAACAAUUUUAGAAAUCAAAAUGUUACUAUGAACCAGGACCAGAGAGAACCCAGGGCAGCUGAAGACCGAGGCCCACGUUUACUGUUCGACUGAAGCAUAAGACGAAUCCAGGGCUAACCAUGGCUACCAUCAAGCUUUCCCUGGAGACCUCAGGGACCCAUGCUCCCUGCAAUGUUCCGACCUUCCAGCCCUAGAUAGAGGCCCCAAAGUGGUGGCUGGAGCUCCAGCCAACACCUCUGCGUUCCCACCAGCUGGUGAAGGAAGUGAUGGAAAGAGCAUGGCUUCUCCCUUUUCAGGAUACCUCAUGGAAACGCCAUCCCACACCUUCUAGAACUUGAUCACAUGGCAACAGCCAACUGCAGGGGGUGGUAAACAGUUAUUUAGCUGGAGGGCCAUGGGCCUCACUAAGAAUCAGUGGUUUAUUAUAAAGGAAUAGGGAAGUGUUGGGCAGUAAUGAGUGAUCUCUGGCCACAGCUGAAUUGAAGGAUCAAUUUUUAUAGAUUUCUUUGUAAAAAGGGUGGGCUGAGGACUCUAGGGACAACGGUGCUGAGCCUUCUUCCUGGCCUGUGGGCUUCCAGGCCGCCUUGCCCUGUGGUCUCAGGGGCGCUGACAUUCACUCCGUUCCCCAGGAGUCCGUCUGGCCAGCCUCCAGGUGCACUGAAGGUUUCCAGGGCUCUUUUCUUUGAUCUUAAG
rnacentral:lncRNA from 1 species